rnacentral:rRNA from 1 species
ACGGAAGGCAGCAGUGGGGGAUAUUGCACAAUGGGGGAAACCCUGAUGCAGCAAUGCCGCGUGAGGGAAGACGGUCUUCGGAUUGUAAACCUAAGUAGUCAGGGACGAAACAAAUGACGUUACCUGAAGAGUAAGCUCCGGCUAACUACGUGCCAGCAGCCGCGGUAAUACGUAGGGAGCGAGCGUUGUCCGGAUUUACUGGGUGUAAAGGGUGCGUAGGCGGGUCUGCAAGUCAGGCGUGAAAUACCGGAGCUUAACUCCGGAGCUGCGCUUGAAACUGUGGAUCUUGAGUGAAGUAGAGGCAGGCGGAAUUCCCAGUGUAGCGGUGAAAUGCGUAGAUAUUGGGAGGAACACCAGUGGCGAAGGCGGCCUGCUGGGCUUUAACUGACGCUGAGGCACGAAAGUAUGGGGAGCAAACAGGAUUAGAUACCCUGGUA